rnacentral:rRNA from 1 species
UCNCCCGGAAACGUCCAGAGAUGGGCGCCCCCUUGUGGUCGGUGUACAGGUGGUGCAUGGCCUGUCGUCAGCUCGUGUCGUGNAGAUGUUGGGUUAAGUCCCGCAACGAGCGCAACCCUUGUCCCGUGUUGCCAGCAGGCCCUUGUGGUGCUGGGGACUCACGGGAGACCGCCGGGGUCAACUCGGAGGAAGGUGGGGACGACGUCAAGUCAUCAUGCCCCUUAUGUCUUGGGCUGCACACGUGCUACAAUGGCCGGUACAAUGAGCUGCGAUACCGCGAGGUGGAGCGAAUCUCAAAAAGCCGGUCUCAGUUCGGAUUGGGGUCUGCAACUCGACCCCAUGAAGUCGGAGUCGCUAGUAAUCGCAGAUCAGCAUUGCUGCGGUGAAUACGUUCCCGGGCCUUGUACACACCGA